rnacentral:rRNA from 1 species
GACGAGGGGUCCUAGCGUUGUUCGGAAUCAUUGGGCGUAAAGCGUGUGUAGGUGGCUAUUCAAGUCAGUUGUGAAAUCCCCGGGCUCAACCCGGGAAGUGCUUCUGAUACUGUUUAGCUUGAGUACUGGAGAGGAUAGUAGAAUUCCUGGUGUAGUGGUGAAAUACGUAGAUAUCAGGAGGAAUACCGGUGGCGAAGGCGGCUAUCUGGCCAUGUACUGACGCUGAGACACGAAAGCAUGGGGAGCAAACAGG